CCCUUAGAUGUUCUGGGCCGCACGCGUGCUACACUGAGUGGAUCAGCGGGUCAGGUUGCGCGAAAGUGUUUCCUAAUCUUUAAAUCCGCUCGUGAUGGGGAUUGACGGUUGCAAUUUUCCGUCAUGAACGAGGAAUACCUUGUAAGCGCGGGUCAUCAUCCCGCGCUGAAUACGUCCCUGCCCUUUGUACACACCGCCCGUCGCACCUACCGAUUGAACGGUCCGGUGAAAUCUUGGGAUUUGCUUUGCUUUCGUUUGUUCGAUGCUCGGCGAAGAACUUGAGUAAACCUUACCGUUUAGAGGAAGGUGAAGUCGUAACA
rnacentral:rRNA from 1 species